UUUCUCCUCCUCUCUGUGCCAGUUCGUUUUGUACCCCAGUGCCUUACGUCCCAGCCCUGUUUAAAAAAAGGAAGAACAUUCCGAACAAGCAAACAAGUCUGUAAAUGAGCAGGCGAAAUCCAAAGUCCCUAAAACAGGCAGGAAAACAAAGUAGCAGUCGGAACAAGUCUGGGAAACAAAACAGGAAGAAUGGCUGGAACGCAUGAAGAUGAACUGACAGCGAAAGCAAAGAACACAGGGACUGAAUACACAAGUGAAGGCAGGACAAUAAGACACAGGAUGUACCCUCCAAGUGAACCAUGUGACCUAUGACCUGAUUGAGGCGUCCUCUGUCUGGAAAACAAGCCUAAUAGAGCACAGUGUUGGGUCACAGAGAAGACGUGCAUCAGACU